rnacentral:sRNA from 1 species
CGUGAGACAGCCUCGUCCGAGAGGGCCC